rnacentral:lncRNA from 1 species
UUUUAUUUUAUUUUAGGUUUAUCCUUUAAUAGUUUUUGUUUUAUUUAUUUAAAGGCUCUAGUUUACUUCCAAACAUGCCCGCUUCAACUUUAUAAAAUCUUAGGUAAUAUUUGUAACCCAUCUAACAUUUUUAUUUUUACUUUCGCAAAACUUUUAAAAUCCACUUUUCACACAAAUCAAAUUUGCAACCGAAUUGAGCGGGGUUUGUACCGACGCGAGUUUAACAAAAGUAAC